GCUGUAGCUCAGUCGGUUAGAGCAUCGGCUUGUGGUGCCGAGGGUCGUGGGUUCGAAUCCCAUCAG
rnacentral:tRNA from 1 species